CACGUGUAGCAGUGAAAUGCGUAGAUAUGUGGAGGAAUACCAAUGGCGAAGGCAGCCCCCUGGGAUAACACUGACGCUCAUGCACGAAAGCGUGGGGAGCAAACAGGAUUAGAUACCCUGGUAGUCCACGCCCUAAACGAUGCCGACUAGUUGUUGGGAAUUUACAUUCUCAGUAACGUAGCUAACGCGUGAAGUCGGCCGCCUGGGGAGUACGGUCGCAAGAUUAAAACUCAAAGGAAUUGACGGGGACCCGCACAAGCGGUGGAUGAUGUGGAUUAAUUCGAUGCAACGCGAAAAACCUUACCUACCCUUGACAUGUCACUAACGAAGUAGAGAUACAUUAGGUGCCCGUAAGGGAAAGUGAACACAGGUGCUGCAUGGCUGUCGUCAGCU
rnacentral:rRNA from 1 species